GGUGGUAUGUUCCUUUGGGGAGAUAAUAACAAAAAAAUAUACUAAUAAUUUGUCGAACCAGGUGUAUACCAUGUUGUCGGGAUCGGUGGUAUGUUCCUUUGGGGAGAUAACAAAAAAAAUAUACUAAUAAUUUGGUCGAGCCAGGUGUAUACCAUGUUCUCGGGAUCGGUGGUAUGUUCCUUUGGUGAGACUGAUAUAAUAUCAUCACUUGUGCUUUAAAUUCAAUAAGUAACUUGUUAUUCUAAUUGAUUUUGGGGUCCCAGCUUAUCUCAGGGCUGAAGACAGAGCCAGCUCUUGAUUAUUAGUAUUCACUUUGACUCAAGGCCAUUGACUUGGAACAUUUACAGUGUGUUAUAAAAUAUUUCUUAUCACAAUUUAGCUUCAGUAGAGUACAUUUGCUUAGUUCUAGUAUUGUCGGAAUUACUAUCUAUCAGAAAGUGCAUCUUUACUAGGCAGUGUGAGUUGUGUCACCAUCAAUUUUUUUUCCUUUGCUUGAGGACAAGCAAAGAUUUAAGUGUGGGGGAACUUGAUAAGCACAUUUCUUAUAUACUAUUUGGGCACACAAAUUCACCUUUUAUUGAGAUAUAUCCAUCCAUUCUUGCUAUGACUUGUUGAAUAUUCGAAUGAUAAUCAUAAAAGAGAAUGUUACCUAGUGAAUUGUUUAUUUUGCAGAAAAGUGCGCAAAGGCACUAUAAUCGUCAAGACUUCUACUAUGUGGCUA
rnacentral:lncRNA from 1 species